CCCUUAGACGUUCUGGGCCGCACGCGCGCUACACUGACUACUUCAACGAGUUGUUUCCUUGAUCGAAAGGUCUGGGUAAUCUUUGAAAGGUAGUCGUGAUGGGGAUAGAUCCUUGCAAUUUUUGAUCUUCAACGAGGAAUUCCUAGUAAACGCAAGUCAUCAGCUUGCAUUGAUUACGUCCCUGCCCUUUGUACACACCGCCCGUCGCACCUACCGAUUGAAUGGUCCGGUGAAAUCUCGGGACGGCGGCUUGGUCGCUUGCGUCCGACUGCUGAAACUUGAUUAAACCAUAUCAUUUAGAGGAAGGUGAAGUCGUAACA
rnacentral:rRNA from 1 species